rnacentral:rRNA from 1 species
GGGAGGUAAAUUUCUCCUAAGGCUAAAUAUUGGCCAGAGACCGAUAGCGCACAAGUAGAGUGAUCGAAAGAUGAAAAGCACUUUGGAAAGAGAGUUAAAAAGCACGUGAAAUUGUUAAAAGGGAAGGGAUUGCAACCAGACUUGCUCGCGGUGUUCCGCCGGUCUUCUGACCGGUCUACUCGCCGCGUUGCAGGCCAGCAUCGUCUGGUGCCGCUGGAUAAGACUGGAGGAAUGUAGCUUCGAU